rnacentral:rRNA from 1 species
AUUGAACGCUGGCGGCAGGCCUAACACAUGCAAGUCGAACGAGUGGCGGACGGGUGAGUAAUGUCUGGGAAACUGCCUGAUGGAGGGGGAUAACUACUGGAAACGGUAGCUAAUACCGCAUACCAUCAGAUGUGCCCAGAUGGGAUUAGCUUGUUGGUGGGGUAACGGCUCACCAAGGCGACGAUCCCUAGCUGGUCUGAGAGGGUGACCAGCCACACUGGAAUGGAGAAACAGUCCAGACUCCCACGGAAGGCAGCAGUGGGGAAUAUAGAACAAUGGGAGCAAGCCUGAUGCAGCCAUGCCGAGUGUAUGAAGAAGGCCUUCGGGUUGUAAAGUACUUUCAGCGGGGAGGCGUUACCCGCAGAAGAAGCACCGGCUAACUCCGUGCCAGCCGCCGCGGUAAUUC